rnacentral:lncRNA from 1 species
GUUUCUCCAUCAUCUCACUCUUACACACCUGGAGUUUAUCCUUCCCAAGACUAUCAUCCUCCUCCACCUUCCCAUGACUAUCAUUCUCCUCCACCUUCCCAAGACUAUCAUUCUCCUCCACCUUCCCAAGACUAUCAUUCUCCUCCACCUUCCCAAGACUAUCAUCCUCCACCACCUUCCCAAGAUUAUCAUCCUCCUCCACCAUCCCAAGAUUACCAUCCUCCACCUGCCAGGUCAGAAAGUUCGUAUUCUGAGCUCUACAACCAUCAGCAAUACUCAUCGGAGAAUUCACAGCAUUUAGGGCCUAACUACCCUUCUCAUGAAAAUUCCUCCUAUUCCUAUCCCCAUU